rnacentral:lncRNA from 1 species
UAACAUUGUGUCAUGUCUCGACGACCGCCAAUAAAUGAUGAUGGCAAAAUUGUUCUUUUUCCAAUGUUUUCUAUGCUGAUUCAUGAAAGGAAUUAGUAUUAUAAUACAUGAAUGAUUAGCAUUAUAACUGCAACUAAUAAUUAAUCAAAUACUGUAUAUUUAUGUUAUAUGAAUUUGUAUCUGCAUUAGUUUCACCAACAU